CCGGUCCACCUCAUCUCCCUCAAUGUGCGCAUAAUCUGGCGAUGGCCUCCUCCCUUUGUAGCCGUUUGGGCGUCCCUUUACAUCCCGAUAAAACGGACGGUCCCACGACCUGUUUAAUUGUCUUGGGAAUCGAAUUAGAUUCCAUUCUCCAAAUUGCGCGUCUACCCAAGGUUAAGUUAGAAGCUCUCAAGCAGCUCCUGAAAGAAUGGCAACAGAAACGAUGGUGCACACGUACGCAGCUAGAGUCACUGCUGGGGAAACUGCACCAUGCAUGCAAUGUGGUUUGGCCUGGUCGUACCUUUUUGCGCCGAAUGAUUAAUCUUCUUUGCGUUUUUCGCCACCCGCUCCACCCCAUCCGUCUUAACGUGGAGUUU